rnacentral:rRNA from 1 species
GUACACAAAAAUGCACAUAUUGUGAGCUCGAUGAGUAGGGCGGGACACGUGGUAUCCUGUCUGAAUAUGGGGGGACCAUCCUCCAAGGCUAAAUACUCCUGACUGACCGAUAGUGAACCAGUACCGUGAGGGAAAGGCGAAAAGAACCCCGGCGAGGGGAGUGAAAAAGAACCUGAAACCGUGUACGUACAAGCAGUGGGAGCCUCUUUAUGGGGUGACUGCGUACCUUUUGUAUAAUGGGUCAGCGACUUAUAUUCUGUAGCAAGGUUAACCGAAUAGGGGAGCCGAAGGGAAACCGAGUCUUAACUGGGCGUUAAGUUGCAGGGUAUAGACCCGAAACCCGGUGAUCUAGCCAUGGGCAGGUUGAAGGUUGGGUAACACUAACUGGAGGACCGAACCGACUAAUGUUGAAAAAUUAGCGGAUGACUUGUGGCUGGGGGUGAAAGGCCAAUCAAACCGGGAGAUAGCUGGUUCUCCCCGAAAGCUAUUUAGGUAGCGCCUCGUGAAUUCAUCUCCGGGGGUAGAGCACUGUUUCGGCAAGGGGGUCAUCCCGACUUACCAACCCGAUGCAAACUGCGAAUACCGGAGAAUGUUAUCACGGGAGACACACGGCGGGUGCUAACGUCCGUCGUGAAGAGGGAAACAACCCAGACCGCCAGCUAAGGUCCCAAAGUCAUGGUUAAGUGGGAAACGAUGUGGGAAGGCCCAGACAGCCAGGAUGUUGGCUUAGAAGCAGCCAUCAUUUAAAGAAAGCGUAAUAGCUCACUGGUCGAGUCGGCCUGCGCGGAAGAUGUAACGGGGCUAAACCAUGCACCGAAGCUGCGGCAGCGACACUAUGUGUUGUUGGGUAGGGGAGCGUUCUGUAAGCCUGUGAAGGUGGCCUGUGAGGGUUGCUGGAGGUAUCAGAAGUGCGAAUGCUGACAUAAGUAACGAUAAAGCGGGUGAAAAGCCCGCUCGCCGGAAGACCAAGGGUUCCUGUCCAACGUU